AUUUUUCUUUCUCAUCUUCUUCAACCUUGCCCGGGGCGAUAUCUUCUCAGAUUGCUGGGUGACCAGCGGCGUGGUGCUGGAUAAGGCCAUUGCCGCACAGUUAUGUACUGUGGUGGCGUUUUCUCAAGCACCAGGUCAGAGAAAUGGAUAUGUCGGUAUAUGACACAGGUGCAAGAUCAGCCUUACUACCUUGAACAUGUUUGAUGGAAUGUACCACAAGCGCUAAGGCUCAGAUUUUUUGGUUGCUCCUUUUCUCUAAUUUUUUUUAAAAAUUUCUCAUCUCUAGAUUGGAUUUGUGACAUACGAGUGUACCCUGAAGCUGCUGAGAUGAAUGCGAUAGACGUUCUCUGAAUUAUCCUUGGGAUCUAUUUUUAUAUAGAGAUCCUAGGUACUUUGUCCAUGUACAAAUGGUGAUUUAUCAGAAUUCGUGGACAUUAUAAAUAUAGCCUUUUAGUCACAUCUGAGGUUUCAUUUUUUGGGCUAUUUAGGGGCUAGGUGUCACAAGGUGAUUGUUUAAUAUAGCAUCGAUUCAAAUAUGUCUUUCCCAUGAUUUAUAGAGUACAAAAUUAGGCUCAUAUAGGUAGUUAUAACCUCUGAAAAUUGGAACCUGAAUUUACACUAUAUUUAUAAGUAAGAAGAAAAUUGACAUGAAAAGGUUCUGAUGCUCUAGACAUUAUAAUACAAUUCCAAUGCAACAUUAUAAUACGGUUCCACUUCAUCACCUGAGCGUAAGUAUUCAAUGGCAAGUACUAUUACUUGAAAUAUUUAGCAAGAGUCGUCAUUGAUUUCCAACCUUCAAGAACAGGAGGCAAUCCUGGAGCAGUAAAUUGAACAAAUUGAGAGCGUUGAUUCGGCUAGAAUAAUCCUAAUCAAAGAUCUAAACGAAGCUCUUAGCGAACAGGGCCUUUGCACCUCUUUUAUCAUCUUCGGAAUGUUCUAUCAUGAAUGCUUAUUAUCUAGCUCACAAGCAAUAGUUUUUGUUUUGUUUUGUUUAUUUGUAACCGAGAAUAAAGUCAGAAGGGGAAGUUUGUUUGGUUAAAUACAUGACUGUGUUAUGCCAUACGUGGUCCUUUUUUCAUAACCUCUUACAUGUUAUCGUCCUUUUUUCAUACGGUCAUGAACUUGUGAUCUUUCCUAGAAAAUCUCAUGCAAGGUCGUUAUUUUCUCUGAUGCUUUUUUCUGUUAUUGCCCAGCUAGAAGGGGAAGUUUGUUAGGUUAGAUACAUGAUUGUGUUGUGCACUUUAUUGGUGUCAUCUGCGUCCUCAUUAUGGUCCGAGCCAUUUCUCCGUCUUGUGGUGAUCUUGGCACCAUUCUAACUUAAUGCUGCCUAAGAGCCCCAUAAAAGUGGGCAUAGCAAGAGUUUUGCUGUGUCAAUUACCUGCUUUUUUUACCAACUUACACACAGAAAAAUCCCCUACUUCCCUAUGGUGUUUUUUUUCUUUCUAUUUAUAUAAGUACAGUGUAGAAGAAGGCAUUAUUUGGUAUGCUUAAGUCUGGUACUUCAGUAUUAAAGGAUUAUUACAAAUCUCCUAACGAGGUUGGAGAUGUCGAUGUGAAAUUCACUUUACAUUUCCUCUUAGUGAAUUCAAAUAGGACAAGUAGGCAGUAGGAGCAACCAAGUGUAUUAAGUUAGUCGACUUCACUGUGUAGCAUCAUGGGCCAUUUAAAUAAGAAGACGGAGAGCUUUUGACACUUUGCAUUGGCUUGACAUCUUGCCUGAUCCAGGUUAGUGGGAUGCCAGUCAUACAAGUAAGCUUUGUCUCUGAGACAAGUGGAUCAUAGCUUCCCUGAGCUUUUCCUCAUGCUGAUCAUUUAAUUAAUUAUUGCAUUGUACCAUCUGUGGUAUGCAAACUAAAAGCUAAAGCAGUUAUAGGGGAGUCAUUUAUGAUUUAUGUUUGUAUUUUGUAGUUUCAGUGCCUUCCUCUAUGGUUCUUCAUACUCAGAUGCUUUGCCUCUUUAGUCCUGGCACCACUUAUUUGUUUUGAAGCACAUUGUGAGGUAUUCAGAUGCCGUGCAGAUUGUUCUCAUGAAAUGAGUGGGUUUUCUGUUUAGCAUUUCUUCAUGUUUAGCUGAUUGGAAUGCUCGUGACUAGCAUGCUUCAGAUUUGUUCCCCGCAGCUGGGCCUUGAUGGUGGUGAUGCUUAUAUAAGAAGGUUAUUGCAGGCCCUAUGCUCGCUUGUUAUGUAUCAUCGUCAGGGAGUCUUUUGAGUUUAGGUUUCUACUCGGCUAAAUAUACAAAUUGAAGUUGGAUCAUUUAGCUAGGCUCAUCGAUAGUGGUAUCCACUUCACUCUAUUGUUUCAUGAUACAUUUCGCACUCAGAAUCCGGGUCAUUGGGUUUGCUAUGUAUCUGCGGCUUAUACUGAAACUUCUUGUGUGAUAAUGAUGGUCGGUGUGUGGACGUAUGAGUGCUGCAUGUUGGUAGCUAGCUCUGGAAUACACAUAUAUUGUAUCAGUGGUUAAUGCUGGAAGCCUUAAGCUAGCUCAAUGGUAUUCUGCAUUGAUAGCCUUUUCUAAUUAUAUGUUCUGUUUGUGUACAUAUCACGCUAUGUAAUGAGUUUACUCCAGACGGCACAGCCGAUGGAUCUUGAUGAAUGACGCAAUUUGCUUAUUAUUAUGUUUA